GGGGACAUAGUAUAACCCGGCUAGUAUAGCCGGCUCCAGCUAUGGAGCGUUGAGCUGAAAAGCGAUGAUAAACCCUAGGUGAUACCGGCCGAUCUGGGUUCAAAUCCCAGUGUCCCCA
rnacentral:tRNA from 1 species